AUACGGAGGAUGCAAGCGUUAUCCGGAUUUAUUGGGUUUAAAGGGUGCGUAGACGGUUUGCUAAGCGGGAGGUGAAAUGCCGGCGCUCAACGUCGGAAGUGCCUCCCGAACUGGUGGACUGGAAUGACUCUGCCGUGGGAGGAAUGUGUAGUGUAGCGGUGAAAUGCUUAGAGAUUACACAGAACACCGAUUGCGAAGGCAUCUCACGAAGGGUUGAUUGACGCUGAGGCACGAAAGCGUGGGGAUCAAACAGGAUUAGAUACCCUGGUAGUCCACGCAGUAAACGAUGAUGGCUAACCGCUGGUUUAUUCGGAUCAGUGGCCAAGCGAAAGCGAUAAGCCAUCCACCUGGGGAGUACGACCGCAAGGUUGAAACUCAAAUGAAUUGACGGGG
rnacentral:rRNA from 1 species